CCUACGGGAGGCAGCAGUGGGGAAUAUUGGACAAUGGGCGAAAGCCUGAUCCAGCAAUACCGCGUGAGUGAUGAAGGCCUUCGGGUCGUAAAGCUCUUUUACCAGGGAUGAUAAUGACAGUACCUGGAGAAUAAGCUCCGGCUAACUCCGUGCCAGCAGCCGCGGUAAUACGGAGGGAGCUAGCGUUGUUCGGAAUUACUGGGCGUAAAGAGUACGUAGGCGGUUAUUCAAGUCAGAGGUGAAAGCCCGGGGCUCAACCCCGGAACUGCCUUUGAAACUAGAUAACUAGAGUCUUGGAGAGGUUAGUGGAAUUCCGAGUGUAGAGGUGAAAUUCGUAGAUAUUCGGAAGAACACCAGUGGCGAAGGCGACUAACUGGACAAGUACUGACGCUGAGGUACGAAAGCGUGGGGAGCAAACAGGAUUAGAUACCCUGGUAGUCCACGCCGUAAACGAUGAUAACUAGUUGUUCGGUCACUUGGUGACUGAGUGACGCAGCUAACGCAUUAAGUUAUCCGCCUGGGGAUACGGUCGCAAGAUUAAAACUCAAAGGAAUUGACGGCUGAGACCNGCGAGACGACACGAGGAGAG
rnacentral:rRNA from 1 species